rnacentral:rRNA from 1 species
GACGAACGCUGGCGGCGUGCUUAACACAUGCAAGUCGAACGGUAAGGCCCUUCGGGGUACACGAGUGGCGAACGGGUGAGUAACACGUGGGUGAUCUGCCCUGCACUUCGGGAUAAGCCUGGGAAACUGGGUCUAAUACCGGAUAGGACUCCGGACUGCAUGGUCUGGGGUGGAAAGCUUUUGCGGUGUGGGAUGGGCCCGCGGCCUAUCAGGUUGUUGGUGGGGUGCUGGCCUACCAAGGCGACGACGGGUAGCCGGCAUGGGAGGGUGGGCGGCCACACUGGGACUGAGAUACGGCGCAGACUCCUGAGGGAGGCAGCAGUGGGGAAUAUUGCACAAUGGGCGCAAGACUGAUGCAGCGAGUCCGCGUGAGGGAUGACGGCCUUUGGGUUGUAAACCUCUUUCAGCAUCGACGAAGCGAAAGUGACGGUAGGUGCAGAAGAAGGACCGGCCAACUACGUGCCAGCCGCCGCGGUAA